rnacentral:rRNA from 1 species
AUUGAACGCUGGCGGCAUGCCUUACACAUGCAAGUCGAACGGCAGCACGGGAGCAAUCCUGGUGGCGAGUGGCGAACGGGUGAGUAAUAUAUCGGAACGUGCCCAGUCGUGGGGGAUAACGCAGCGAAAGCUGUGCUAAUACCGCAUACGAUCUACGGAUGAAAGCGGGGGAUCGCAAGACCUCGCGCGAUUGGAGCGGCCGAUAUCAGAUUAGCUAGUUGGUGAGGUAAAGGCUCACCAAGGCGACGAUCUGUAGCUGGUCUGAGAGGACGACCAGCCACACUGGAACUGAGACACGGUCCAGACUCCUACGGGAGGCAGCAGUGGGGAAUUUUGGACAAUGGGCGCAAGCCUGAUCCAGCAAUGCCGCGUGCAGGAUGAAGGCCUUCGGGUUGUAAACUGCUUUUAUACGGAACGAAACGGUGAACUCUAAUACAGUUUGCUAAUGACGGUACCGUAAGAAUAAGCACCGGCUAACUACGUGCCAGCAGCCGCCGUAA